CAAGCUAGCUCUUUCAGGUUCCAUGGUUCAAUGUUUGCAAGUACUCAAUCUCAGGGUGCCAUUAUCUGAUGUAUAGGCUUCCCCUGGGAGCAUGGGAGUAUAAUCUGACAGAUGCAAGACUAAAGUACUCUCUGUGUGAAUGUGUGACUGCAUGUGUGACCGUGUGUGUGUGAGGCUGUGCACGAGAGAGGGGAGUGUGUCUGUGUGGAAGCAUUUGUGAGAGACUCUAAGUGUGUGACUGUGUGUGAGAGUGUGCGUAUUUAUUCGUGUUGUGUGUAAGAUUGUGAGAUAAUGUGUCUGUGUAACUUUGAGCAUGUGUGUGCGUGCAAAUGUUUGUCAGAGAAUGUAAGUGUGCAACGGUGUAUGAGAGUGCGUGCGUAUAGGCAUGUUGUGUGUAAGACUGUGAGAUGUGUGUGUGACUGAGAAUAUGUGACCAUGUGAGAGAGUCCGUGUGAUACUGUAUGAGUGUGUAUGUGUGAAAGAGUGCUUGUGUAUGGGUGAGUGUGUAUAUGUAAGUGCAUAUAUGAUUGUGUGGAAGUGUGUGUGAGUAUCACUGUGUUCAAAUGUGUGGGAUGUGUGUAAGCGCAUAACUGUGCAUGAAUAUGAUUCUGCGUGCACAAAUUGAGUCUGUGCAUGUAUGUGUGUGUAUGGAUGUGUGGGUGUGUUUAUGUGUGAGUAUGGGUGUGACUGUGUUGAACUGUGUGAAUGGUGGUAGGGUCAGAUUGUGUUCUAUUUUGUAACUCCAAAACAUAAAACUAAAUGAGAGAAAAACACAGAGCCGGGGAUAACUCAUGUACAAUUAGUUUUUUACUUUAGUGAGGCACUCACUUCUGAUGUGGUGGUGUAAUGAUGUUUAUCAUUCAUGCACAUCUUACAUAUAACCCAUAAUGAAUUAUGUAAAGCAAGAAUGCAUAAUCAAACAGCCUGGCUGGUGAGUUGUGGUGUGUGUUGCAUGGUGAUAGGCAGGGACUAAAUUGUUAGGCUUCUGAUUCAAUGUCUGUGUAGUGUGUUUCUGCUGACAUUGUUCGCAGUGCGUUCUCUAGAAUGGACAAACUUUUCUGACAAGCCAUUUGCAGCUGGGUUGUCUGGUGCAGAUUAAAUAUGCCUUAUUCCAUUAAUUUCUAGGAAUGACUGAAACUGUUCCAUAACAAACUGUGGUCCAAUGUCACUGAGUGUUCUGGAACACCAGCCUUGAAAAGAGGCUUCUCAGCACAUCAGCAGUGUGCAAGGUUGUAGUGGAGGCUAACAGGAACUCUUCUGGUCACUUUAUAUUUACAUCCACCACUACCAAAAAAUGUUUGCUCAGGAAUGGUCCAGCAAAAUCCAUAUGAGUUCUCUGUCAGGGUAAUGUAGGCCAUUCGCAGGAAGGGAGAAGUGCUGUUCUUGGCAUCUUCUAGAAGUGUUGGCACCCAAAACAUUACAUGGUGAGCUGCUCGAUCUGCUCCCAGGCCACCAGACAAAGCUUUGACCCAAUGCUUUUAUUUUGACCAAGCCUAGAUGACUGGCAUGUAGCUCCUCUAACACUUUAGCUCUCAGUUAAACUCUCAAUCCCCUCAUAAGGCAACUCCAGUCAAGGGUACGUUCAUCGUGAUGCUGGAAUAAAUGGGGGGAGUUGGCAUUUCUGCUGCAUAUUGCAGACAUUUUGAGUGGCAAUGUAUACCUGAGAUGGUGUGGGGUAUUUUCUGGCUUUCCUUUUGGAUCAUCUCUGCCAUAUUAGUGAGACUUUCAAUUUGCAUUAGGCAGAAUAUGACAAGAGGAGUGUCCUCCUUGUAAAUUUUUCAGGUAUUUCCUUUUCCAAAGGUAAUUAGGACACUCCAUCAGCAAUUCCAUGAUUAGCUAACCUCUUAAAUUCAAUAUGUAAUUGUGUCCUCCAAGAAACAGAGCCCAUCUCUGCAUUCAUGCUGCUGCUGUUAGUGGAACUCCCUUCUGUGGACUGAAAAUGGACAAUCAUGGUUAAUAAUCAAUAACAAAGCUGUAAGAAAACGUGAUGCAAAGGCUAUGGGGUGUUCACUUCCAUCACUCAUGACUGCACGUAAGGCAAGAUCUCAUUGGCUGCACCCAAGUUUAUACUCCAGAGGGAAAGCAACCUCUCUUUGACCUGAAACAUCUCCCUGUGGAUGUACUGCUGUGCUGUAAAUGAUCUCCUGACAGCUGGCAGUGUUUGAUGUAUUGUCCGCCUGAGAUAAUCAAAGAGAAGCCUUGUGCAUUGAAGGUGUUUCUCCUUGGAGCUAAAAACAAAAAAUGCUGAAACAGAGAGUCAGGCAGCACCUGCGGAGAGAGGAACUGUUAACGUUUCAGUGAGGUAUCUGACAACUGUGUGUGUCAGUGAGUGUCUCUUGGGAUUGAGCGAGCUGUUGAACUGAGGAGUAUACUCAUGUCCUGAUGAAGGUAUGAAGUAUUCUGAAGAGCAGGUAAUGUCAUCCAUUACCAGAUUUUGGCUGGUUAUUUUUCUGCAAACUGCAAUCUACAGUAAGGACAGCUAUAACGCUUCUAUCAAUUGGACUCUCUGGAAGUUAUCUUAUUUGAAGAGGGGAUAGCAUUGCAGUAUAACAUUUUUAUGACAAGGGUCCUAGGGCACAAAGUGUGGUGAACUACAUAUACCUGUCUGGACACACCCCCUGCUGACUGCUCCUGUGGCCACUCCCACUGACCAUAGCUCCUCCCACAGACCCCAUAUAAAGGCGAUUGAGGCCUGAGCCCGGCCCUCAGUCUUCAGGAUGUAGUAUGGUGGUCAAUUACUGCUUGUUCUUUCUUCCAGUCAAUAAAAGCCAAUAUCUUGCCUUCACGUCUCAGAGAGAGUUAUUGAUGGUGCAUCACAAAGGUAACAGAAAGUCCAGUGCAGGUGUGGCUGUGAGUGCUGCAUUUUCCAAGUUCUUCUGCGCUAAUCAUAAUUGGGUCAAUAUGUUGGGCCUAACAUAGAUGCUCUGAAAUGCUGGGGCCUAGAAACUGCUCAUCCUUUCAAGAGAUACAUUUAAUGAUAAAUGACCUUGAUUUUGCAAUUCAAUCUUCCCGACACUCUGAAAAUAUUUGAUGUUGCAAUGUUCACCGAGCUUGGCAAUUAGCUUGCAGACAUUUCAUCACCAGUUGAAAUGAUAUCCUCAGUGUGUAGUUGUUGGUAUUUCUCUCUGGGAGUGCUCUUGUACAUAUAGUACCCCUUUCCCCACACCAUUUGCUUGCCUCAGUCCUGAUAGGCUAUCCCUUCAGUUGGACCUUUGAAUUCUAUUGGCCCGCAUUUCUUUGCCUCUUAGGGGUUCAUAGACGACGUCUAUUUCAGUAUGUUUGUUUACGGAGCUAUCAGGAGAGAACCACGCUUCUAAAAAUUCUCGUGCCUGCCUUAUGUUUGCCAGCAUGAGAACCUCUGUAGUGUCUCAGUUAAAGUGACGUCCUUCUCAGUCUUCACAUACCAAGAUCAGUGACAGUGGAUCAUAUCUCCGUACCGCCAGUUUGUGUCCUCGUAAACAAGUUGGGAGUUUGCAUCCUGUCCAGCUGACAUAGUUCUUGUUGUAGUCUUGAUAGGUGACCCUGUACACUACAUUGCUUUUGUUGGUUGUUUUACAGGCUACCUUGGUUCUUGGUUCUUGAGGCAAGCUUCCUUAAAGUCAUUGUCGGUUUGUGAAUGAUUUCAAUCCUGCGCGGAUUGAACAGUUGAGCUGUCAUUACUGAGAUAUUCUUGAUGUAGGGAAGGUCGCACGUUUAAAUGCAUGUUGAGUAAGGUCUGUGUGACUUUCUCUCCUUAGUAACCAUCUCCUGAUGAAAUUCCAUGUUAUUAGAGUUUGAACUAAAUUGAAAACCAUGCCUCAUUAUACAUCAAUUUUCCUACAGCAAAGGUACAUGCUACUCUCUCUCAUGGUAUACUUAUUGCAUAAUUCUUUGAAUAAAAUCUAUUCGUGAAAGUAAUUCUAGCUGUUUGCUGCAAAGUGACUUCUUAAUAAAUUUUCCUGACCUAACAGUUCACAAUGUCACAAAUGGACACUAUUUCUUUUCUUUUAAAAAAAAUUGUUUAUAUGUAAUACUAUUUUUAUCUGUUUAGCAACUUCCAACAUCAUUUUCAUACCAAUAAAGAGGUUUGAAAGACAGUUGCUGUUUUCUAUGUAAGAUGCACAACAGUUAAUUUAAACUCCUACACACAGCACUGAGUAAGCUCAAGUAAAGUUGGAAGGUUCAAUUGAAAGAUAAAUAUGAGACCACAGGAAAUGUCCCCUAUUUUCUUCACAAAGUUGCCUUGGGAUAAUUUAAUCUACAUAAGAAGUUCAAUGGAUGAUCUCAGAUUCAGAUUCAGAUUCAGUUUUAUUGUCAUUUAGAAACCACAAGUGCAAUGCAGUUAAAAAACGAGACAAUGUUCCUCCAGAAUGAUAUCACAAAACCACAUGACAAAACAGACUACACCAGAAAAUCCACAUAACGUUUGGCAAUCCCCAAUCCAGAGUCCGGAGAGGCUGCAGCGUAUUAAUAUCGCGCUACCGUCUUAGCGUGUUUCCCAGAACGGAGCUCCAAAUCCACCAGACAAAACAAGACCAAAAACUAAAGCUACAAGACCUGCGCAAAACCACACAGUUACAACAUAUAGUUACAACAGUGCAAACAAUAGCAUAAUUGAUUAAAAAAACAGACCAUGGGCACAGUAAAAAUAGUCCAAAGAUGUUAAAAGACUAUCUAUUUUAUGUUAAAAGAUCUGGAAGACAAUUCAAGUAGUGCAGCACUCCCUCAGUACUACAGUGAAGGAAUCAUCCAAAUUUAAACUUAUCUUUCUUUUGGGUCUCAAACCAAAAUGCAUUAACUUAGUAACUGAUGGUUAAAAUUGCUAUUGUCA